AUAAAAGGGUGUCCUUCCACACAUACAUGAGUUGAUCUCGCAGGAAACAGAUCGGACUUAAAUAGGAGAUUUGUGCGCUAACGCACCUCAUAUCUGACGGAGAUGGUCACCGUAUACUCUGGAACGUGACACGCUCAUACUCCUGCAGGAGACAUCAGUUGGGGUUUCUGCACAAUGGGCGCAAGCCUUAUGCAGCCAUGCCGCGUGUGGGAUGAAGGCCUUUAGGUUGCAAAGCUCUUUAUGUGAGGAAGAGGCUACUUGGAUUGUCACUGUAGACUGGUAUAAAAAUAUCAACAAAAGAACAGACGUUAACUUUCGUCCCACCACCCCCGUUAAUAUGUAUGUCCCAAGCUUUAUCGGAUUUUAUUGGGGGUAAGGGGGGGUUGGGUGGUUAUGUAAGUGUGAGGGAAAAACGCGGGCUUCAAUUAAGAAUUGCCUUCGAAACUGCGUAGCUAGAGUACGGGAGAGGUAGGCGGAAUUCCAGGUGUAGCGGUGAAAUUCGUAGAUAUUUGGAGGAAUUCCGAUGGCGAAGCCAGCUAUCUGGCCUAAUACUGACGCUGAAGCUUGAAAGCGUGGGGAGCAAACAGG
rnacentral:rRNA from 1 species